GGGCCGUUAGCUCAGUUGGUAGAGCAGGGGACUCUUAAUCCCUUGGUCGAAGGUUCGAGUCCUUCACGGCCCACCA
rnacentral:tRNA from 1 species